rnacentral:rRNA from 1 species
UACGAAGGUCCCAAGCGUUGUUCGGAAUCACUGGGCGUAAAGGGAGCGUAGGCUGUGCGGUAAGUCAGAUGUGAAAUCCCGGGGCUCAACCCCGGAACUGCAUCCGAUACUGCCGCACUUGAGUAAUGGAGGGGUAGCUGGAAUUUACGGUGUAGCAGUGAAAUGCGUGGAUAUCGUAAGGAACACUCGUGGCGAAAGCGAGCUACUGGACAUUUACUGACGCUGAGGCUCGAAGGCCAGGGUAGCGAAAGGG